CAGAUAUGAAGAGGCAGGCAGCAGCUCGCAGUUCAGCUAGGAAGAGAAGGACACAAGGGAAGGCAUUUGCUGAGAGGAUUGUAGAGGAGAAGUCUGAUUCCAAUUCAGUCCUCUUCACCCUGAAAGGGCGUCACCACCCAGCAAGUCACACCAUCCAGAAGCCUGGGAUUAAUUGUGGAUUCUCCCCUCUUUCUCAUUUCCCACAAUGUCUACAUCAUUAGCAGGUUUUGCUGAUUCUCCC